ensembl:lncRNA
AGGACAAUGGCGGGCAGCAGCUGCUCCCUGGCAGGGCUGCCCCUCAGCCAGCCGAGCCAGUUCACAGCUUCGGCGCGAAACCUCGCCAGAAAGGCUGGUUUUUAUUUUCAUUUAGGCUUGCGUUUGGACAACUAAAGGAUGAUAAUCCCCACUCACUGAAAACCAGUAUACUACAAAACACAUAUCCUUUCUUUGCCUGAUGAGUAGACGUGACUGAAUCUUCCUAUAUCAAGAGCUGCAAGUAACUGUAAUUACUGCAGGGCUCUGGGUUCUCUGCGUGUUAAUAUGGACUGCAUCUGAGAAAUUGUGCAUCCACAGGGGUGUUUACUGUUAUUUUGAAAUGAUGAAACAGAACCAAUUAAAAUUCAACAACACUGAUGUCAGAAGCACAGCCUUUAAAUAUUUUUUCAUUGUCUUCUCACUGGCAGCUGCUUUAUAAAAUCCUUUAUUCACAUGUAUGUAUUGUAAUUCUCUGUUGUGUGAUAAUGCUUCUAAUUUUGAAUAUCAUCAAUAUUUUUAAAGACUGAAAUAUUUCAUAUUGAUUUGUUUCAAUUUCCAUUGUUACAGCAAACUGUGUUAGUGGAAAUAAUGUUGCGGGAGCUUUGUCAGUUCAUGUAAAAGCUUAAAAAAAUAUGUUUAUACUCAAAAUGGAUGCAAAGAGUGAAAAUGAGAUGAAUGAUUCUGAUGUCUUAGAAGAUCAGACAAGGAAGGUAAACAUCAAGAUAUACAUUGAGAUCAUGAUGAGAUUAGGACGGCUGUAGCCCUAUUGUUAGACACAUUAAAAAAAAAAUACAUAGCAUUUUUUCAUGUCGUGCUUUAAAAAAAAAGCAGUUUUAGUCAUGAGAUUGGAACGCGUAUUUUCAC